rnacentral:lncRNA from 1 species
UCAAGUUUGUUGGGAGUUAGUUACAAUCACUUUUUGGUUGUUGUUCUUUUUGAUUAGUUGAGGGAUCAAGAAAGGUUCAUGAUUUCUUCAAGAAUCAAGAAAAAAAGAUCAAAAGGAUUCAAGGGUUGAUUCAUAUCCAGGUUUGGCUCAAGCCUAUUCAGGCUUUUGGUUCAGGCAAGCAGGAUCUAAGAGAAAAUAACUGAGGUCGGCCUUAUGGAU